rnacentral:rRNA from 1 species
GAGGAAUAUUGCACAAUGGGCGCAAGCCUGAUGCAGCAACGCCGCGUGAGGGACGAAGGCCUUCGGGUCGUAAACCUCUUUUCUGGGGGACGAGGAAGGACGGUACCUCAGGAAUAAGUCUCGGCUAACUACGUGCCAGCAGCCGCGGUAAAACGUAGGAGGCGAGCGUUAUCCGGAUUUACUGGGCGUAAAGCGCACGCAGGUGGCUUCGUCAGUCGGACAUGAAAGCUCCUGGCUUAACUGGGAGAGGUUGUUCGAUACUGCGAGGCUUGAGGUUGGGAGAGGGACGCGGAAUUCCCGGUGUAGUGGUGGAAUGCGUAGAUAUCGGGAGGAACACCAGUGGCGCAAGCGGCGUCCUGGCCCACACCUGACGCUGAGGUGCGAAAGCGUGGGUAGCAAAC